CCUUUUCAACACAUUUGAGAAAGAGCGAAGGCUAAAAUGAUCGCUUUGGUGUUCCUGUGUUUUGUUUAUUUAUUGAAUUUUUUACCACGUUUGAUUGAUACGAAGAACCUGACGGGUUUCCGUUCGAAAUUUCUAAAGAUCGGAUUCUUUAAAGUGCGAGAAUACAGGAGGACCGAAAAGAAAAAAAAAGAGAGAAAGCUUUUAGAGUGUUAUUCCACUGGCAGGACAUCUGAGGCUUGGCUUUGUAUCCCAGUGCUCCCCUUUUCCAUCUCUCCCUCUCUCUCAUCUUCCAGCACACAUUCAGAGGUGCGAGCUCUGACCAUCCGCCAAGCAGGAAGUGACCUCAAUGGAAAAAAAUGAAAAAAUGGGAUGAGGUGUGUGUGUGUCACUAGGAGGCCUCAUUUAUUCCAGUAAGCUGUUUUGCUGCUACCAGAUAGAGCUGAGGAAGCCAAUGGAGGCCAGAAAGGCUGAGUGAAAGUUCAUGAGUUUUAUAAUUAAAGGUCUUUCCUCUGGGUUGCACUCAUUAAACCUCCACUGAAGACUAUAAAACCAUCCCCGGUCGAAGCGUCUCCUGACCAUCAUCCGAAUCCGAUGGCGAUGACAUCACUAUUCGAAAGAGAAGCCAAAUGGUCCAUCAGGAAAAGAUUUACGAGCCGUGAACUUCGAUUCAAGACAAAAGUGGACUGGAAUUCAACUGAGUGCCACCAAAAAAAGCACUAAAUAUCUACAUCAGGGCUGAGAAGGUUCCAACUACAUGGCUCCAGGUUUGUCUGUGUGCAACACUGUGGACCAGCCUGUUGGGAAACCGGGUGUACCAGGAAAUGCUAAUUAAGAGGAGAAAAAAUUGAAAGAGUGCUUUGUUUCAAACCGUAUGAGCUUGGACAGGUAGAUACUGAACUUCUGAUGUUAUAAUCUGAGUCACAACAUGUACACACUCGCUCACAACUUAACAGUAACAAUGAUAUUACCGAAAUGAACAUCACACUGAUUUCACAGAAGGAAAUCUUCCGUGGAACCUGCACAAGAGGUGUAAUGACUAAUGAGAUGAACCAUAAUGGUAUGAUUUGGUUGGAGGAAAUCCUUUAGGAGGAAAUACAACAAUUUACUCAUUUUCCCCCACAAUUUUUUUAUUCAGUCACUGCAGAAUUGUAAGAAUUCUAUAUAUUACUUACAUUUUCUGAUCAAACAAUGUGUUGAGUAUCACUAGUGCGGUCCACGUUUAUAGCAGAUACACAAAAGUAGCAGGAUAUAUUUUGUAUUAAAAUAAGCACCACAGUUAUAUAUAUUUUUACCCUCAAAAAGUCUGAGAAAAAGUUUUAAACUUUUAAAUCCUUGUGUAUUUUUUUUGGAGUUGUGGUGGGAUUUUGCCUGACAACCUGGCAACCCUUCACACAAGCUUGUUUUGUCCUGAACCCAAUGCACACACUUAGUCUGGAGAUUUCCAGCAAGCAAAACAAAUGAAUAAAUGCAUGAAUGAAUGAAUAAAUCAUUUCACAUUGUGAGUUGAAUUUACACGGUGAAGCCUUCCUGUUAAAAUCACGGUUAAUCACGAAGACACAAAGACAAUCUAUUGGACAAUCUAGAAAGCUCAGAUGGUCAGACUCAAUCUACCUUUGGCCAUAUAGUGUAUUUUUAACAAUGCUUUAAGGAGCUCAUUAUAUCUUGUGGCACUUUUCCCUGAUGCCGUAUCUCUUUCAUUCUAGUUGUUGACUUCAAUAAACAAGUUACAGUUAGUCCAGAAUGCAGGACUAUAUGAUCAUAUAACCCCAAUAUUAUCAUCCCUGCACUGGCUACCUGUUAAGUUUAGAAUUGAUUAUAAAUUAGCACUACUUACAUACAAGGCUCUAAAUGGUUUAGCGCCCACGUAUCUAACCAGUCUUCUGACAUGCUACAAUCCACCAUGCUCCUUAAGAUCACAAAACUCUGGACUUCUGGUAGUUCCCAGAAUAUCAAAGUCUACUAAAGGGGGUAGAGCGUUUUGGUAUUUAGCUCCUAAACUUUGGAAAAGCCUUCCUGACAGUGUUGGGGGCUCAGACACAGUCUCCCAGUUUAAACAUAGAUUAAAGACAUAUCUCUUUAGCCUGGCAUACACAUAAUUCCUCCCAUAACCUUGUACUCCAGUACAUCUGAUUAUCAUCUAGUGCUGCUAAUAUCAUGAAAGGCAGCUACGCUAAUUCCUUUCCACCUGUUCCUUUUUCUAUCCACCCCGAGGCAUCUGGAGAUUGUGCCAGCUCCAGUAGACAGAGUCCAACCCUGCAAGGAUCCUGAGGCAACCAGAGAUGGACCAGCUCCAGCUGGAUUCUGCUCUGUGAGGAUUUGGGUAUAUCAAAGCAACGCUGCCAGCCCUAUGUGGACUUCAACCUCCUAAUUAAUACACACACUAACAUUCUACAUAUGCUGUAUCUGCAUCACACUGUACACUGUACAUAACUGCAGAAAGGACAUUGUUCAUAUCACACUCUUCUGUGUUUAAAAUCGUUUAUAAUCACACUCUGCGGUGUCCCCCAGAUGAGGAUGAGGUUCCCUUUUGAGUCUGGUUCCUCUCAAGGUUUCUUCCUCAUACCAUCUAAGGGAGUUUUUCCUCGCCACAGUCGCCUCAGGCUCGCUCACU